rnacentral:lncRNA from 1 species
UUUUUCUCCCUCUUCUGAUCUCCUCUCUUGCUCUCCGCUCCUUUCCUGUUUGCCCCCGAAGCUCCUCUCCCUCUCUUUCUGGUUUUUUCUUUGUUUGAUCUCCUCAGAUCCUAUCUUGUUUUCUUUUCAGUUUUCUUUCCUUGUUUUCCUGCCCCCGAAGCUCUCCUUUUUGGUUCCAGAUUUUCUUCCUCCUCUCCAGCUCACUUCCCUUCCCCUCUUUCCUUUCUUUUGCCCGAAGCUUUUUCCUUGUCCCUUUUUUUUCAGCUCCAAAACCCUCUUUUUUUCCUCCU